rnacentral:rRNA from 1 species
CCUACGGGUGGCAGCAGUGAGGAAUAUUGGUCAAUGGGCGUAAGCCUGAACCAGCCAAGUCGCGUGAGGGAUGAAGGUUCUAUGGAUCGUAAACCUCUUUUAUAAGGGAAUAAAGUGCGGGACGUGUCCCGUUUUGUAUGUACCUUAUGAAUAAGGAUCGGCUAACUCCGUGCCAGCAGCCGCGGUAAUACGGAGGAUCCGAGCGUUAUCCGGAUUUUUUGGGUUUAAAGGGUUCGUAGGCGGCCUUUUAAGUCAGCGGGGAAAGUGUGGGGCUCAAACAUAGAAGUGCCGUUGAAACUGGUGGUCUUGAGUAUGUUUGAGGCAGGCGGAAUGCGUGGUGUAGCGGUGAAAUGCAUAGAUAUCACGCAGAACCCCGAUUGCGAAGGCAGCCUGCCAGGCCAUGACUGACGCUGAUGCACGAAAGCGUGGGGAUCAAACAGGAUUAGAUACCCUUGUAGUC